CUCCACGGCCUGCCCGUACACGCGCGCCCGGAUCUUGUCCAGCGCGUCCCGCAGCACGUCGAUGGUGUCUUAUUCUGCUGCCAGUGCCGAAGGGGGUGUCGUUGCCGUCAUGGUGAGGUUGCUGUAAUCUGCAGCCGUUCCAAGUGGAAGGAGCUUCAGUUGCUCACAUGAGAUGCGAAAUUGGCAAUCCUUCCUCAGGUUGGAAGAUAUUCAUCCUAAAGUGAACCAAUUUAGGCAAAGAAGAAAGGUCUGGAUUUUGCAUCAGAUUCCUAUUGUGCGAGAACACAAACAUAAUACAUGCCACUGUAAUAGGUUUAACUUGUUCAUGCUUGCAGCACAUAAAUAAAAACUGUGCUUCUUCCUGCUUUUUUACAUGCCAACAAACAGGGAUAUCCCUUCUGUAUCAAACUGGUAUUGUGAAACAAAUUCUAAUGGUUGUUCUUUUCGCUGGAAAAUAGUCAAGUUCAGUCAGACUGUUAGAGUUUAUCUAUACCUGUACUCGUUAUGUAUUUAGAGUCAUAUAUCUGUACGGCUGGUGACCCAUAGCACCAUACUAUAAAUACAAGAUUGAGAGGCUCGGGAUUGUAUCCGAGUAGAAUCAUA